AGAGUUUGAUCCUGGCUCAGGACGAACGCUGGCGGCGCGCCUAACACAUGCAAGUCGAACGAGAGAUGAGGAGCUUGCUCUUCAAAUCGAGUGGCGAACGGGUGAGUAACGCGUGAGGAACCUGCCUCAAAGAGGGGGACAACAGUUGGAAACGACUGCUAAUACCGCAUAAGCCCACGGCUCGGCAUCGAGCAGAGGGAAAAGGAGCAAUCCGCUUUGAGAUGGCCUCGCGUCCGAUUAGCUAGUUGGUGAGGUAAUGGCCCACCAAGGCGACGAUCGGUAGCCGGACUGAGAGGUUGAACGGCCACAUUGGGACUGAGACACGGCCCAGACUCCUACGGGAGGCAGCAGUGGGGAAUAUUGCACAAUGGGGGAAACCCUGAUGCAGCGACGCCGCGUGGAGGAAGAAGGUCUUCGGAUUGUAAACUCCUGUUGUUGAGGAAGAUAAUGACGGUACUCAACAAGGAAGUGACGGCUAACUACGUGCCAGCAGCCGCGGUAAAACGUAGGUCACAAGCGUUGUCCGGAAUUACUGGGUGUAAAGGGAGCGCAGGCGGGAAGACAAGUUGGAAGUGAAAUCUAUGGGCUCAACCCAUAAACUGCUUUCAAAACUGUUUUUCUUGAGUAGUGCAGAGGUAGGCGGAAUUCCCGGUGUAGCGGUGGAAUGCGUAGAUAUCGGGAGGAACACCAGUGGCGAAGGCGGCCUACUGGGCACCAACUGACGCUGAGGCUCGAAAGUGUGGGUAGCAAACAGGAUUAGAUACCCUGGUAGUCCACACCGUAAACGAUGAUUACUUAGGGUUGGAGGAUUGACCCCCUCCGUGGCCCAUUUAACACAAUAAG
rnacentral:rRNA from 1 species